CCCCAGCUCCCGCUGCCCCUCUGGCUCCUGACCGUGACCUCGCUCGUGACCCCGGGCCAAGUAUGGACCAGUUCAACCCCGCUGGCACCCACAGCUGCCUCCAGUCCAGGGGUACAGACCGACCCCUCCCCCCACGACCCUCCCUGACCCCCAAGAGCAGUGGGACACCCCGCCCCCCCCACCCUGGUGAGUGUUGGCCCCCUCCCCCAUGUCUGGGACCCCCCCCCCAACAUCUGGGGACCCCCCCGGA